rnacentral:rRNA from 1 species
UCAUAACGAACGCUGGCGGCAGGCCUAACACAUGCAAGUUCGAACGCCCCGCAAGGGGAGUGGCAGACGGGUGAGUAACGCGUGGGAACAUACCCUUCGGUUCGGAAUAGCUCAGGGAAACUUGGAUUAAUACCGGAUACGUCCGCAAGGAGAAAGAUUUAUCGCCGAAGGAUUGGCCCGCGUCUGAUUAGCUAGUUGGUGAGGUAAUGGCCCACCAAGGCGACGAUCAGUAGCUGGUCUGAGAGGAUGAUCAGCCACAUUGGGACUGAGACACGGCCCAAACUCCUACGGGAGGCAGCAGUGGGGAAUAUUGGACAAUGGGCGAAAGCCUGAUCCAGCCAUGCCGCGUGAGUGAUGAAGGCCUUAGGGUUGUAAAGCUCUUUUACCUGGGAAGAUAAUGACGGUACCAGGAGAAUAAGCCCCGGCUAACUUCGUGCCAGCAGCCGCGGUAAUACGAAGGGGGCUAGCGUUGUUCGGAUUUACUGGGCCGUAAAGCGCACGUAGGCGGAUUCUUAAGUCAGGGGUGAAAUCCCGGGGCUCAACCUCGGAACUGCCUUUGAUACUGGGAAUCUUGAGUUCGGGAGAGGUGAGUGGAACUGCGAG